rnacentral:tRNA from 1 species
ACUUAUGAAGUUUAAACUUAAACAUUACAUUUUCGAUGUAAAAAUUACUAACCAUUCAAUUAGUCGUAAGUA